UAUAUAUAUAUAUAUAUAUAUAUAUAUAUAUAUAUAUAUAUAUAUAUAUAUAUAUAGAGUGUGGAGCUACUAUGCUAUCGAAAAUAUAGAGAUCUAAUUUGAUACUUUUGAUUUUUUGAUCUUUGGAUCAAAAAUUGUACGGUUGGAGUAAUUGCAGUCCCCCCUAGGAUUGAAUGGUCCUCACAGGAUAAUAAUAUUAAUUCAAAAGUUGAAAAUAAUUGAAGAAGCUGAUUUAAGGGCAAAAAAGACGAAAGCACUAGAUUCUCUAUACUUUCGAUAGCAUAAUAGCUCUAUUAUAUAUAUAUAUAUAUAUAUAUAUAUAUAUAUAUGGCCAAUUUGCAUAAAAAAUUCACUUAUUUUGGACUGUUGCAAAAUCGGACCACCUUUUUCGUUUUUGCAGAUUCGGUCCGCUUUUUCAGCAAACUGAUCAAAAUACCCUUAUUACUUUUUUUCUUUCCUCUUUCUCUCUCCUCUUCGUUUCUGUCGUUUUUUUUUUCUCGCCGAAAAAAAAGAGGCGGAUUGGACCGUCGCCUCCCUCCUCACCCUCCUUCUUCACCGUUGCCUCCCUCCUCACCCUCCUCUCCACCGCCCGCGACCCCUCCUCCUCUCCCCCGCCGCCGCCGCCGAGCCCACCCCCACC
rnacentral:lncRNA from 1 species